rnacentral:rRNA from 1 species
AUAGCGUAUACUAAAGUUGUUGUGGUUAAAAAGCUCGUAGUUGGAUCUCAGUUCUAGUCAGGCGGUCCACUUGCCAGUGGUUACUGCCUGGCUGAACACUUUAUCGACUCUGUCUACGGUACUCUUAACCGAGCGUCGUAGGCGAUCGAUACGUUUACUUUGAAAAAAUUAGAGUGCUCAAAGCAGGCUUUAAAAGCCCGAAUAAUGUUGCAUGGAAUAAUGGAAUAGGACCUCGGUUCUAUUUUGUUGGUCUUCGGAAUCCGAGGUAAUGAUUAAGAGGGACAGACGGGGGCAUUCGUAUUGCGACGCUAGAGGUGAAAUUCUUGGACCGUUGCAAGACGAA